rnacentral:rRNA from 1 species
CGCCCGCAUGUAAUUCACAUGACAGUCGAACGGCAGCACGGGUGCUUGCACCUGGUGGCGAGUGGCGAACGGGUGAGUAAUACAUCGGAACAUGUCCUGUAGUGGGGGAUAGCCCGGCGAAAGCCGGAUUAAUACCGCAUACGAUCUACGGAUGAAAGCGGGGGACCUUCGGGCCUCGCGCUAUAGGGUUGGCCGAUGGCUGAUUAGCUAGUUGGUGGGGUAAAGGCCUACCAAGGCGACGAUCAGUAGCUGGUCUGAGAGGACGACCAGCCACACUGGGACUGAGACACGGCCCAGACUCCUACGGGAGGCAGCAGUGGGGAAUUUUGGACAAUGGGCGAAAGCCUGAUCCAGCAAUGCCGCGUGUGUGAAGAAGGCCUUCGGGUUGUAAAGCACUUUUGUCCGGAAAGAAAUCCUUGGCUCUAAUACAGUCGGGGGAUGACGGUACCGGAAGAAUAAGCACCGGCUAACUACGUGCCAGCAGCCGCGGUAAUACGUAGGGUGCGAGCGUUAAUCGGAAUUACUGGGCGUAAAGCGUGCGCAGGCGGGUUUGCUAAAACCGAUGUGAAAUCCCCGGGCUCCAACCUGGGAACUUGCCAUUGGUGACUGGCAGGCUAGAGUAUUGGCAAAGGGGGGGUAAAAUUUCCCGUGUACCAAUGAAAAUCCUUAUAGAGGUGAAGAAAACCCGAGGGCUAAAGGCUGCGCGCGCGCCCCAUUCUUUAUGCUAUUGCCGAAAUCUUUGGCACAGAGAGACUUACACACCCUGGUAUUCUCCACCUAUCGACUUUACGUGUUGUAGGGAUAUCUUCCCACCCCACCCGCCAUCAGGGG